rnacentral:rRNA from 1 species
UACGUAGGGGGCGAGCGUUGUCCGGAGUUACUGGGCGUAAAGGGCGCGCAGGCGGUCUGGUAAGUUUGGAGUGACAGUGUUCGGCUUAACUGAGCAAGGCCUUCGAAAACUGCUGGACUUGAGCACUCAAGAGGGACAUAGAAUUCCGGGUGGAGUGGUGAAAUGCGUAGAUAUCCGGAGGAAUACCAAAGGCGAAGGCAGUGUCCUGGGGAGUGUCUGACGCUCAGGCGCGAAAGCUAGGGGAGCGAACAGG